CCUACGGGAGGCUGCAGUAGGGAAUAUUGCUCAAUGGGGGAAACCCUGAAGCAGCAACGCCGCGUGGGGGAUGAAGGUUUUCGGAUUGUAAACUCCUUUUGUUAGAGAAGAUAAUGACGGUAUCUAACGAAUAAGCACCGUCUACCUCCGUACCAGCAGCCGCGGUAAUACGCAGGGUGCAAGCGUUACUCGGAUUCACUGAGUGUAAAGAGCGCGUAGGCGGGAUAGCAAGUCAGAUGUGAAAUCCUAUGGUUUAACCAUAGAACUGCAUUUGAAACUGUUAUUCUAGAGUAUGGGAGAGGUAGGUGGAAGUCUGGGUGUGGGGGUAAAAUCCGUAGAGAUCAAGAGGAAUACUCAUUGCGAAGGCGACCUGCUAGAACAUAACUGACGCUGAUGCGCGAAAGCGUGGGGAGCAAACAGGAUUAGAUACCCUUGUAGU
rnacentral:rRNA from 1 species